rnacentral:rRNA from 1 species
UGGCGGACGGGUGAGUAAUGUCUGGGAAACUGCCUGAUGGAGGGGGAUAACUACUGGAAACGGUAGCUAAUACCGCAUAACGUCGCAAGACCAAAGAGGGGGACCUUCGGGCCUCUUGCCAUCAGAUGUGCCCAGAUGGGAUUAGCUAGUAGGUGGGGUAACGGCUCACCUAGGCGACGAUCCCUAGCUGGUCUGAGAGGAUGACCAGCCACACUGGAACUGAGACACGGUCCAGACUCCUACGGGAGGCGCAUG